GAUGAACGCUGGCGGCGUGCCUAAUACAUGCCAGUCGAGCGAACAGACGAGGAGCUUGCUCCUCUGACGUUAGCGGCGGACGGGUGAGUAACACGUGGAUAACCUACCUAUAAGACUGGGAUAACUUCGGGAAACCGGAGCUAAUACCGGAUAAUAUAUUUAACCGCAUGGUUCAAUAGUGAAAGACGUUUUUUCUGUCACUUAUAGAUUGAUCCGCGCCGCAUUAGCUAGUUGGUAAGGUAACGGCUUACCAAGGCGACGAUGCGUAGCCGACCUGAGAGGGUGAUAGGCCACACUGGAACUGAGACACGGUCAAGACUCCUACGGGAGGAAGCAGUAGGGAAUCUUCCGCAAUGGGCGAAAGCAUGACGGAGCAACGCCGCGUGAGUGAUGAAGGUCUUCGGAUCGUAAAACUCUGUUAUUAGGGAAGAACAAAUGUGUAAGUAACUAUGCACGUCUUGACGGUAACUAAUCAGAAAGCCACGGCUAACUACGUG
rnacentral:rRNA from 1 species